AGUGAACGCUGGCGGUAGGCCUAACACAUGCAAGUCGAACGGCAGCACAGUAAGAGCUUGCUCUUGCGGGUGGCGAGUGGCGGACGGGUGAGGAAUACAUCGGAAUCUACUUUUUCGUGGGGGAUAACGUAGGGAAACUUACGCUAAUUCCGCAUACGACCUACGGGUGAAAGCAGGGGAUCUUCGGACCUUGCGCGAUUGAAUGAGCCGAUGUCGGAUUAGCUAGUUGGCGGGGUAAAGGCCCACCAAGGCGACGAUCCGUAGCUGGUCUGAGAGGAUGAUCAGCCACACUGGAACUGAGACACGGUCCAGACUCCUACGGGAGGCAGCAGUGGGGAAUAUUGGACAAUGGGCGCAAGCCUGAUCCAGCCAUACCGCGUGGGUGAAGAAGGCCUUCGGGUUGUAAAGCCCUUUUGUUGGGAAGGAAAAGCAGCAGGUUAAUACCCCGCUGUUCUGACGGUACCCAAAGAAUAAGCACCGGCUAACUUCGUG
rnacentral:rRNA from 1 species